AAAAAAUUUUUGCGUAAGUAAAUUAACCACGGAAUUUUAAAGCGCAAUCAAAGGAAUUCGAGGAUGAAUUAAAUAAAAAGUUGAAAUAGAAUCACCGAAUGAAUCGUCAAUUAUUUUUCAACUUCAAUAGGAAUUCCUCGGGCUAACCGAUAUCAAAUAAAGUGCAUUAAACUAUAUCAUGGCAUUUAUCUUCAGUAUAAAUCAUUUAAUUGACACUUGUUGAAAAAUAAGUACAUAACAAUCUAAUAUAAUUAUCAAAAAUUAUUUCCUUUUCGCUAUCGUGUUACAUUGUAUGUACACCAUUUCCGGUAACCUGAAAAGAAUUUAUCUUAUCGUUCCACCGAGUCAUAGACUGAGAAUGAGUUUAUUUGAUUUUUUUAAUUAUUUCUGAAAAUAGACGGUAAGAAUAUUUUUUUUUCAACAAAAAUUA